ensembl:lncRNA
UGUCUUGUCUAGAGGGUCAAUUUAGACAAAACCAGAAACAAACAAAAAUCCCAGACUUGCUGUGGUAAUAUUAAUAUUUUUCCUUACUUGUAGGAAUAUAAAGAAUUGCAUUUUCUGUCCUCUUGAGGGUAAGCAUGACUAUGUAUCUUACUCUGGCAAACAAAAUGAAGGGAAAUUGACCUAUGUCUCUUCCUGGACAAUGGCCUUAAUUUUCCAUGUUCUCUUUCCCUGUUGCAGCAAACCCAAAAUCUCUGGAUGAGAAGGAAGUAUUCUAUGAUGAGGAACACCUGUCGACCUGGGUCUGGGGAGCAGAACUUCCCACCAAUCUGCAUUGGGCAUACGAAGAAGCUGAGAUAUAAGUCUUUGUUCUUUCCAGCCUCUGUGAUUGCUUUGUUGUUUGCUUCCAUAACCUAACCUAGCCUGUCCUGAUUGACACAUUUGCCUUGAAUGUACUAGACCAGCAUGUAAUACUGAACCUCAUAAACACUGACUGCCAUCCUGCUACAUUAGGAAUGAAAGCCAAGUUCUCUGUUCUCAGGACCUUCUGCUGAAUAUGUUUUGGUUUUUCCCUAGAAAAACUAGAACAUUAGACCAAAGAUUGGAGCCCUCCAGCCAAGUCUUGUCAACUUAUCUCCCCUGGAGACUGAAGAGUGCUCUAGGAUUGGACUGUCCUCCAACCAUGACAGCAAGCACUUCUACUUAUUAACUAUUUUUGCCAGAUGCUCCUUUUAUAUUGUUGCAGCAGUGGGAUUUUUGCCAGAACUGAACUCAGCCGCUUCCUUGGGAAUGUUGUCCAGUUGCUAAUUUCACUACCGGAACUGUGUUCCUUUGCGUCCUGGCCUAUUUCCAUGCAUGCUUCCACUGGAAUAAAGGGUCUGACAGUUCUGUGGAUAAUGGUAAACAUAUGCAGCCAAUGCUGUGCAGUUCUUUUAGAGCCAGAAAGCAUUAGUAGGUAUUUCAGUUGCUGGCAACAAAAAAAACAAUGUAAGGCACUUCAUCAAACACCAGAACCCAAAGAAAACUACACAUCAAUGAUUUUAAUACACAGCAAGUUUCUUCUUUCAUCCUUUCUUUUCUAAGUCAUUGGCUAAUUAAAAAUGAAAGUCAGACUAUUAUGACAACCUAAUUCCAAACUUUAAAACUACAGGGGAAAAGGUUGGAUUGCGAGGGAAAGAGAAUAUUACAACUUGUUUAUUUUGGAUACUAUUCCCAUUUCAAGUUAGGCUUUUUGAUUCUUUAAGUGUACAAGAGAACUUUGACUUUCCUGAGUACACAAGGGAAAAAUUACAUAUUGUGAUGUCAUUGCCUUGAGGAUUUCCCAUACCACUGAGUACAUUAGUCACACUGUCAAUGUCAAGGAGAUAUAAAAGAAAAAGGGGAAAAAGCAUAUUAUCUUCCUAUGAGAAUCAGUAAUGAUUUUUCUUUGGAUGCAUUUAUUCAAAAUUGUUUCCUAAAUUCCAGUGGAAUUUAAGAGAGCUAUUUUAAAACACAUAAUGACAUCUGUAGCAGGUCAUCUUGUGAUACUCUAUUACCAGCCUAAUAAAAACAUUACUAUGUAAUGGUAAAUAAGAAUA